GCAAUGCACCCACGCGAGUUGCUCCAAGUAAGGGAACAGAACCGGCAGGCACGCUUCUCCACCUUCAGCGAGCGACUCAGGAGGAAGUGUCCUGAGAGGCUCACGCUGUCUCACCGCACACACGCCUGCGUGCACACAUACACACUGUGUCCUAUGCAGUUGCCCGGGUGCCCCUUCAUGCCCUCAACUGUGUAACACUGUCCAUCCUGGUGAACCGGGAAAGCAAGAGACUCUGCAUAGGACUGUAGAUAGAAGCAUUCAAACUAAGAAUUUCGAAGCUAUUUGCCCAUAAGCGAGGCUGGAAAUCACACAGGCGACCGCACACUCUCUGCCUGCCAGGACCCGCUCACCUUGCUGGCCGCCUCGCUUUGUUCUCUGAGGUCAUCAUUUUCACUCUGCAGCUGUUUUGCAUCUAACAUGGGAAGGCGAAUUCCAUCCUCAAGGCAUCUUUCUACUUUGUGCUGCAAACUGUUUUAGAAAGAUCAGUGUAUGAGGAAAAGAAGCUCUAUUUAUUGAUCUGGGCCAAUGACUUCAACGUAAUGAUGUUCCUCCUAAGGAGAUUUUUUAAUCAAGACCCACAGGAAGCACAUGAGUAAGCACAACCAUGUUUCACACAAGGAAAGUCGGUAAUGAUCUGGGGCUGAUGAUGUCCUUAGAAACGGCAAGGCUGAGACCAGAGUUGCUUAGCACGUGACACCUCUACGUAUAGGCCAAACCCCGAAUUUUGUCCUCUAGCUUCUCGUUGUUCCUUCUCUAAGAAGAGCUAGGAAUACGGGUCCAUGUCUAUGGCCCUGCAUGUCAGCUCAGCGGCAGUUUCCCUGUAAGGGCAAUGGUGACCUAAGCCUGCAACAUAACAUGUCCUCUUCACUGGCAAGAGCAGCACUUUACAGUGUUUACAGCUUGGCUAAAUGGUUUGAGCUGCACCGGCAGCAGAGACAAACAGCAGAAGGAAUCCCUCUGGCACAUUAAACAUAAAAGAAGGAAGCAGAGAAAGUGCCAGCUUUGAGAAAAGAACAGCAGUAAUGUUCAGUUUCAAAGAAACCAUAUCAUUAACAGUAAGGGCCAGAACCCAAACUAUUAACAGCUGCAAGAAUUCUAGAGAUGCCCCCGCUUUAGCUGAUAAUCAUACUCGAGAGUUGUAGGAUACCAAAAGGUUUCUUAUAAUUGCAUUUUGAUAUUUUCUUUUUCCAAUUAUUAUGCCUACCUGAAGCUUUUUCCAUCCUCCAAAAGAAACUUGGCCUAUUUAUUAGUUCUUUAACUAACAAUCUUAUUGUACCUAGGUGGUACAAUAAGAGCUUCAGGCCCAUUUAUAAAUAAUGUCACUGGAGACAUUUUUCUGUAUCGUUAGUUAUCAUAAAGUAUUUGCUUUCUUAACCAAAAGUGAAAAAUAUCUAUUUCUGACUAAGUUCUUUCUCAGUUCAGUGUCAAGAUACUAUCUUCCAUACACUUAAAGCAUUUCAAGACAUUUCAAGAGAUAAAAUGCACUAAAAAUAAUAGUCUUUAAGGUAAAGAGAAAAAACAUCGCAAAAAUAUUCCCCUUUACACUGGCAUCCAUGUCCUGUAAUACAUUCUUCCAGCAGCAUAACUACUACUGUCCAAACAUCUCUGGUGGAGUACUUUUCUUAACUUAUAAACCCCAAAUGUUCUGAGGAAUUCAUGAAGCACGAAUCACAGAAUUACACACAAUGAUUAAAUAUUAUGAUACAGUUCCUGUCACAUAAGUUUUUGAAGUUACGAGGAAGUGGAGACUACACCCAAACCACCAGAGUUGUGACACACCACCACAGUGCUGAAGAACGACACGUAUGCUUCUCUGCUCUGUGCCUCCAUGUGAAAAAGCAACAGAAAAUUCUAGAAUGACGCCAUCUCAGACUACAUCAAGUCAAGUCAAAAGUUAGCAAUAUUUUCUGAAAUGCACUGUACCAAGUCUUCCCAAACCAAGAAUUCCAGACUUAAGUGUGCUCCAAAAGCCUACAUAAAAGGAAGUCUACAUAGAAGAAACAAAAACCUGCGUAUGUAAAAACACACAGUGGAAUGGAACACAUGCAGCUACACAGUUUGGUUUGGGGUGGCGGGGCUGACAGCACAGGACAGACACAUGGUGUCUGCUUUUUACCAGUGAAGGUGAAAGGAAAACCACGGCUCAAUUCCUGAGGAUCAGGAAGCUGUUUUGAGACUAAGGAAUUGGUAUAAGGUACAGAGUUACACAAAAGGGAAACUGAAGAAUCGGCAGAAAAUAAGACCAAAUCGCAGGUAUGUGACUCCUUGGAGCUGAGGUAAGGCAUGCUGAAGACUGAAUUACCCUGGAAAUGAGAACUUUUUUCAGCAUCUAAAAAAUCAUUUUAAAAGGAUAGACCAGGUAUAUUUAAGAUUCGGCAGGAGGAAAGCACUAUUACAUGAAAUGUGUACUAAAUCAUAUGGGACUGCUUUAAAAGGUGAAUAUACAGGGGCUGGGGUUUUAGCUCAGCGGCGUAAGCGCCUGCCUUGCAAGCAGGCAGUCGUGAGUUCGAUCCCCGGUACCGAUAAAAAGGAAAAAGACCAAAAAAAAAAAAAAAAAAAAGGUGAAUAUACUGAGUUUAUAAUUAUGUAAACACAAAGGCAUUUCAUUGACUUGUGUUUAUUAGUACCUUUGCAGUUCAUAAUAACUGCAUGUAAUAUAGGGAGUUGGUACAUACACAAAAAGAAUUAACCUUCUCUCCCCUUCCCCUCCUUCUAUCUCUAGAUGCUCUUCCCAUUUGCAAGAGUUCGCGCCCUGUUUCCUAUUUUCUGUCUCUGAUUCUGCUCUUUAUUUGUACUUUGGCUUUAUUACACAAGAAAAACUGUUACAUUUAAGCGUGUGUGUCUGAUUUAUUUCACUGGCAUCAUGGUUAUGAAGUACAUCUGCUUUCCUACAAAUGACUGAAGUUUAUCUCUUUUUUUUUUUUCUUGGUACCAGGGAUCAAACUCACAACCUCAUGCCUACCUUUAUCCUUCUUUAUAUCAUAAUAGUACAUACUCCACUAUACAUAAAUUCCCCAUUCUCUUUAUCCAUUCAUUUAUUGGUGGACUUAUAAGCUGCUUCUAAGAUCUAACUACUGUGCUGCUUAUACACAGGUCAGCAUGUGUCACCCUGUAAUAGCAAUCUUGAACUCUUUCAGGAAUAAACCUAUAAGAGGAAUAACUGGGCUGAUAUUUCUAGUUUUUUUAAGGAAUCUUCCUAUUGAAUUUUAAAUAUACAAGUUUAUACUUCCACCAAUAAUGUAGAAAGGUUCCUUUUCUCCACAGUCUCAACUGCAUUUGUUAUUGUUUGAGGUUUUGAUGAUGACUGUUUGUAGGGAGCCCUUGAAGCUGGAGACUUAUCACAUGUGUGGGGCUAAAGCAAGGCCAUCCCUGAAAACACAGAGAGCUCAAAACCAGCCACAUGAAAAAGCUGUUCCAGCGCCAAGAAGACAAGGGGCCCAGGCUGGCCAGGAAAACACGUUGCUAGGCAGUGGGGUUGAAGCUGACAGUCUUCUUUGGAGGGUAUAAAUAAAUGUGCUACAAGGGUUGAGCAGUUGCUUCCCUCCUAUGAGGAGGGUAAGGGCUCCACCUGAGCCCAGCUUUGUCUCCUCUUUAUUUUCUCAUCUUCUGGCAGUCCUUCCCUCAGGGAAUUCGAGUUAUCUAUAGCUGCAGCUAGUGGCUGCAGCCAUUCUUUCUGAAGUAAAAUGAAAUCUGUGCUGUUUUAAUUUGCAUUUUUCUAAUGGCCAAUGAUACUGAACAUUUUUUCAUGUAUCUACCGACCAUUUGUGCUACUUCUGAGAAAAGUGUAUUCAUUUCAUUUGCCUAUUUCUUGUCUGGAUCUUUUAUUGGGGGGAGGGUAUAAUUUUUUGAGUUGUUUAUAUAAUCUACAUAUUAGUCCUUUAUUCAAGGAGUAACUGGCAAUUUUGUUUUCCUAAUCUGGAAAGUGAAUUUCUUACAUUUAAUUUUGGUGCUUUGUAAUGUUUUUCAGGAUUAUUUCAUCUAUCUGUAGUCAACAGCAUAAAGGUUUAAGUUUUGCCCCCAAAAACCAUGUCUAUGUAUGCAUCUUAAGUUCCUCAGGAAUCCAACCUUAAAUUUCCAAGCUUAAACACAUACCCUAAAAACACUACACAUCCUCUCCACCAUUUCCUAGCUGCACUAACUCAGAGAUGCUGCAUGUGUGGGCUGUUUGAGAGUCCUGCAGUCACCACUGUCUGGGGCACGGCCACAGGCGGCAGCACAUCUUGCUGGCCCCUUCUUCCAUUAUUUAGAAGUUUUCUGACAAAGCUAUCAGCUUUUACUUAAUUGUGCAGUCUUCAACUGUCAAUUUUGUUCUUUUUCAUUUUUACUCUUCUCAUCUAAAACCUUUGGAAAGAUGCAUGCAAAUGAAUUUUAACUGUAUCAAUGAAAUUCUAUUUCUGAUUUUUUGGUUUUUAUUUUUUACUUUUUUUUUUUUUUAAAUUCGGUACCAGGGAUUGAACUCAUGACCAUGUGCUUAUAAGGCAGGCGCUUAUGCUGCUGAGCUAAAUCCCCAGCAUAUUUCUGAUUCUUAACAGUACACCUUUAAGAAGAACAAUCUGUAAUAAUAAUUACAAAUUGUUUUAAAUGAAAUGCUUAAAAAAUACAAACGGUUUUGGAAGACAGGCUGAGUUGAUAACAACCAAAGUACAUAAAUAAACUAAAUGCUUGUAUUGUU